rfam:Lactobacillus lindneri DSM 20690 = JCM 11027 strain DSM 20690 NODE_49, whole genome shotgun sequence.
GACUCUGAGUAAUCGCGGUCAGUUUUUACUGGCUGAGGAAAGUCCACUCUCGCACAAGCUGAGACGCUUGUAGUGUUCGUGCUCGGUGAAAAAAUAAGCCGGGGAAUUGUAUUUUUACGAUUACGGCGAAAGAACAGACUAAGGAUUUUUAAUCUAUGUCUUAGUAUUUCCUAAGGUGCUAUAGAGACGAUUAAUUUGAGAAAUCAAAUUACUGGAACGUAGUAAACCCCUCGAGCGGGAAACCCAAACUUUGGUAGGGGAGCUUUACACACGGAAAUUGAACCAAGUGUAGGGCAAGAAUCUUUGAUUCUUGAGAUAGAUGAUUACUACUCAAUUGUUAUUCCUGAUAUUUCAAUUGAGCACAAAACAUGGCUUACAGGG